CGUUCUUCCACGAUAUCUUCGCUUCGCCUUCGAACCGUUUUCCUUCGGACUCAAGGGACUUGUCUUCCGCUACCUUUUCGGGAUAAUAAAACAGCACUUUAUUGCAUCGACCAAGAGGAACGUGUUUCUCUCUCGGAGUUUUCAUGGAGAUUUCGAUGCCUGCAAACACCAAUUUCUUUGUGCUCUAUAAUGCUACCAAAUGAUUAACAUCAUAAAAUAUUCUGUCGAAUAUUAGACGAAAUUAGUGACUAAUUAAAAGUGUCGACAUUGAGUUUAUUGUGACACUUAAAAAUUGAUAUUUAUAAUAAAGUAUGUUUAUAUUAAAUAUGAUAUUUCAACAAGCA